UGCCUUUUUCUCUGAAUUUCACAUCUUGUCUUUAAAUUGUUACCGUAAUGUAAUACUCCAUUAUCCUUUGUUUUAAAAGGAGAAGGUAGCUAAUUUUUGUGCUAGUGUCUGGAGUUGGGAGGGAAAGGAAAGUAACAUAAACUUCUUUAACUUCUUGGACAUUACUUCUUUUCUUUUCCUCUUAUGGUUUGCGUGGAUUUUAUUUCUGUUCGUGUAAAUAUAUUGAACCUGUGUAACAAACCCUGCUAUAGCCUGUCUGUUUCUGUUUGUAAUAUUGGAGGAAUUAGUAUAUGCCCUUUGAACUUAUUGCAAAAUCUGAUACCUUGUGGCAUUUCUUGAAAAGUAAAAAUGUGCUUCUGAAUCCUUGUAUUUUUGUUUCUACAUUUGUGUUCUGGCAAAAUAUGUGAUAUAUUUGGACAUUUGUUACUAAUUACUACAUGAUGAGACUAUGGACGGCUGCUAUUGUUAGCAUGACCUUGGACAAGCAAAGCUUUAUCAUGAAGUAUAUAAUUAAAUUCCUUAUUUUGUUGUCUGAAGUUUUUUGAUCGAGGGCAGUGACAGAAAUGCAUUUAUAGCUAUUGGCAAUUGUGGAUUAUGAGUAAUGCCUCAUGAUUUGGGCUUUUUUGAAGAAUAAAUUUAUGAUAUCUUGAGGAUACUUAAAUUUGAGAAUUAAUUUAUUAUUGUUUCUCUGAUUAAAAGAGAUCUAAGUUUUGACAUGGAUAUGUGGGUUUAGAUAAUAAAAUUAUUUUAGUGGCUUAAUCAUUUAGCAUAGUGGUAAAAGGGUCGGGGACAGAAUAGGGUUCCUUCGUGACUCUGUUUCAAUUUUUGUGUAAUCUAGUUUAACUAAACUUUAUUUUUGCAUUACAACUUGUUUUUCAAAUUGCUUUUUCGUAUGAAAAAACAUUAAAUUGAUAUUUUUAUAAGUGUUUUUGGAUAAUUUUAAUAUGUUGAUGUCAAAAAUAAAAAAAAAUUAUUUUGAUGCAUUUUUAAUUGAAAAACACUUUUGAAAAGUACCAUGCACAAUACCAAACACACUUAGAGAAGUCUUAAUUCAACCUAGUUGGGGGUGUAGGGACAUGCAUUCUUCUCCAUUUUGUUCUAUUUAGGGUACUUUCUACAAGCUGUUAUAGCACUCAUUUUGUAAUGUUACUUAAAAGACGAUGCUCAACCUAGUCAUCUCAUCUACAUUUUAAUGAAACAACUUUUGCAGAUCCAAACCGUCCUGGUAUGCACAUGAAGUUGCUUAAAUUUCUGAUAAAGCUCAAGGCCCCACGCAUUGUUUAUGUAUCGUGCAAUCCCGCCACAUGUGCCCGUGACCUAGAUUACCUUUGCCAUGGUGUGAAAGAGAAAAAUAUAGAAGGAUGUUACAAACUUAAAAGCCUGCAGCCAGUGGACAUGUUUCCCCACACCCCGCAUAUUGAGUGUAUUUGCCUAUUAGAGCUUUUCUGAUCCUUGCUCAUGACUACAAUCUAUACUGCCAAGGUGCAAGACUUUUAGCUCUCAGCUGAGGCUCCAGUCCGAAGUUUGAUGUUCGGGAUUCAUUGAAGUUUCUAAUGCAGCCCGCAUUUACCUUACAUUAGUUUUCGAUGCCAAAACAACUGAAUAGUGAGACAAUGUCAAGAGAUCCUCACUGCGUGCAUUUUUCUCUAUAGUGGUCAUUAAUUUUGCAUUGCAGUAGUUGAUGUACGGGUGGUUUUUACCUUGAGACAUCGGUAAAGUGUGUUUUUAUGUUGUUCUAAGGAUUCAGUUAUGCUUAAAGUUGUGAAUAAAUUAUUUUCUUA